AUGUUUGCAAAGAUAGAGGAUAAGCAUUUCUGUCUGCAAGAGACAAAGCCCCGAGGUUGGCUCUUUCACAGCCACGCUGGAUGCUGUCCAGGGCAGGAGUUCAGUUUCUCGCCAGUACUUCACUGCUGCAUGAAUGCAGCAAAGGCUGCAGAAUUGCAUAUGGGCGGAUCCCUGGAUUCCUACAGUAAAGGAGGCAGGCUUCUGAAGCCAGGAUAUGUAACGCCGGUGUAUGGCAGUCCUGCUUCCUGUUUCUCCCCACAUUGGCUCCCUGGGAAAUCUCAUCCACUCCAUGGUUUAAAAUAUCAUCUAUGUGCAAGAAAGGCAAAAUGUGUGGGCCCUGUCCAGAUUCCUUUUCUGAGUGCAAGAUCACUGUACAUCUUUAAUUGGAUUUCCCCAAAACUUGUAUCUCUACAGUUUAAGUCUUGAGUGGAUUUUUUUUGUCUUUCUGUUUGCUUUCAUUUAUCAUGAGUGCUGAUUUUUGUCAAAUGCCUUUUCUCUGUCUAUUGAGAUAAUCAUAUGGUUUUUUUCCUUUAUCCUAUUAACAUGUUUUAACUGAUUGAUUUUUAUAAGUUAAAAUAACUUUAUAUUCCUUGGAUAAGUCCCACUUGGUUAUGGCAUAGUACUUUUUAUAUAUUACUGGAUUCAGUUUGUUAGUAUUUUAUUGAGGCUUUUUUGCAGCUAUAUUCACAAGAGUUAUUGGUCUGUAAUUUCCCCCUCCCCCCAGCUUUAUCGAGGUAUAGUUGACAAAUUAAAAUUGUAUGUAUUCAAAGAAUACAAUGUGAUGAUUUGAUACACAUAUAUAUUGUAAAAUCAUGGCCUCGAUCAAAUGAACUAACACGUUAAUCACCACACAUAUCUACCAUUUGUCUCUGUGUGUGUGUGUGUGUGUGUGUGUGUGUGUGUGUGUGUGUGUGGUGAGGACAUAGAGUUUGAGAUUUUUUUUUUUUUUAAGAUACAUAGUCUUGCUGUGUUGUCCUGGCUGAAGUACAGGAGUGCUAUCACAGUUCAACACAACCUCAAACUCCUGGGCUCAAGCAAUUCCCCCACCUCAGCCUCCCAAGUAGUUGGGACUACAAGUAUGCACCAAAAUGCCUGGCUAAUUUUUUAUUUUUAUUUUUAAUAGAGAUGGGGUCUUGCUAUGUUGCCAGGCUGGUAUCAAACUCUUGGCUUCAAGCAAUCUUCCUACCUCAGCCUCCUAAAGCACUGGGAUUACAGGCAUGAGCCACUGCACCUGACCCAGUUUAAGUCUUGACACCUCACUCUAGACGUCUUCUCAUUCCUGUUCUCCCCACCUCGGUGACUGACAUACCAGAGACCUUGGAAGCAGCUGUGUUUCUAUCAUAUUUGGUAUCCUUUCCCCACUCUUCACCCACCCAAGCAAUUCUCAGCUUAAAUUACACUUACUCAGAGAAGAUUUCAUUGACGACUGCUCAAUCAAUGGCAAGUUCUUCUUCACCCUCUUAUUUUCU
rnacentral:lncRNA from 1 species